rnacentral:rRNA from 1 species
GAUCCUGCCGGAGGUUACUGCUAUCGAGGUCCGACUAAGCCAUGCGAGUCGAAUGUCCGCAAGGACAUGGCGAACUGCUCAGUAACACGUGGACAACCUACCCUUGGGACGAGGAUAAACCCGGGAAACUGGGUAUAAUCCGCGAUAGCUGUAGAAGCCUGGAAUGGCUCUACGGCGAAAGCUCCGGCGCCCGAGGAUGGGUCUGCGGCCUAUCAGGUAGUAGUGGGUGUAAUGUACCUACUAGCCUACGACGGGUACGGGUUGUGAGAGCAAGAGCCCGGAGAUGGAUUCUGAGACACGAAUCCAGGCCCUACGGGGUGCAGCAGGCGCGAAAACUUUACAAUGCUGGCAACAGCGAUAAGGGGACCUCGAGUGCCAGGUUACAAAUCUGGCUGUCGAGAUGCCUAAAAAGCAUUUCAUAGCAAGGGCCGGGCAAGACCGGUGCCAGCCGCCGCGGUAACACCGGCGGCUCGAGUGGUAACCGCUAUUAUUUGGUCUAAAGGGUCUGUAGCCGGCCGAAUAAGUCUCUUGGGAAAUCUGGCUGCUCAACAGUCAGGCUAUCAGGAGAUACUGUCCGGCUCGAGGCCGGGAGAGGUGAGAGGUACUUCAGGGGUAGGGGUGAAAUCUUGUAAUCCUUGAAGGACCACCAGUGGCGAAGGCGUCUCACCAGAACGGGCCUGACGGCAAGGGACGAAAGCUAGGGGCACGAACCGGAUUAGAUACCCGGGUAGUCCUAGCCGUAAACGAUACUCGCUAGGUGUCGGCCACGGUGCGACCGUGGUCGGUGCCGUACGGAAGCCGUGAAGCGAGCCACCUGGGAAGUACGGCCGCAAGGCUGAAACUUAAAGGAAUUGGCGGGGGAGCACUACAACGGGUGGAGCCUGCGGUUUAAUUGGAUUCAACGCCGGG